rnacentral:rRNA from 1 species
CCUACGGGAGGCUGCAGUCGAGAAUCAUUCACAAUGGGGGAAACCCUGGUGGUGCGACGCCGCGUGGGGGAAUGAAGGUCUUCGGAUUGUAAACCCCUGUCAUGUGGGAGCAAAUUAAAAAGAUAGUACCACAAGAGGAAGAGACGGCUAACUCUGUGCCAGCAGCCGCGGUAAUACAGAGGUCUCAAGCGUUGUUCGGAAUCACUGGGCGUAAAGCGUGCGUAGGCUGUUUCGUAAGUCGUGUGUGAAAGGCGCGGGCUCAACCCGCGGACGGCACAUGAUACUGCGAGGCUAGAGUAAUGGAGGGGGAACCGGAAUGCUCGGUGUAGCAGUGAAAUGCGUAGAUAUCGAGAGGAACACUCGUGGCGAAGGCGGGUUCCUGGACAUUAACUGACGCUGAGGCACGAAGGCCAGGGGAGCGAAAGGGAUUAGAUACCCGUGUAGUC